rnacentral:rRNA from 1 species
AACGAACGCUGGCGGCAUGCCUAACACAUGCAAGUCGAACGAGACCUUCGGGUCUAGUGGCGCACGGGUGCGUAACGCGUGGGAACCUGCCCUUAGGUUCGGAAUAACUCCCCGAAAGGGGUGCUAAUACCGGAUAAUGUCUUCGGACCAAAGAUUUAUCGCCUUUGGAUGGGCCCGCGUUGGAUUAGCUAGUUGGUAGGGUAAAAGCCUACCAAGGCGACGAUCCAUAGCUGGUCUGAGAGGAUGAUCAGCCACACUGGGACUGAGACACGGCCCAGACUCCGCGGGAAGGAGGAGGGGGGAAAUAUUGCAAAGGGGGGGAAGCCCUGACCGAGCAUUGCCGGGGGAGUAAGGAAGCCUUUGGGGUUGAAAAUCCUUUUUCCCCGGGAGUAAAAUAAGAGCACGGGAGAAAAGGCCCCGGCCAACCCCCGUC